rnacentral:lncRNA from 1 species
UCGUUUUCCUCUUCUCAGACUCCAGACUCUAGAAGGCGAUUUUCUCUGCUCGAGCUGGAUUGCACGAGCUGCUCCAAGCCAGGCUGAAGGAGGAGAAGGAGUUGCCGCCUGUGGUACGGUCGAGCAGAUGACGUGGCUCUGCAGCUUGCCUCAUGCAGUUGGUGUUGGAGAUGGAGACCACAGCUCGACUGGAGCGGUAGGAGGGCACCCACGGGGGCCUGGUGGUAGGAUCCUGGUAGGGUGGGCUGGUACGUUGAGGAUAACUGCUUGUAUUGGCAUCGGCGCUAGUGGUGGUAGCAGUAGGAAGUCUGGGGGCCGGGAAGGGGGAGUAGGAGCACUGCAGGGCCCACCCCGUUCUGGGGUGGGGAGGAACCUGUGGGUGCUGUAACGAAGGCCUCGGUGGCAGUGGUGGUGGUACACCUAGGACAAAGA